rnacentral:rRNA from 1 species
UAGGGAAUCUUCCACAAUGGGCGAAAGCCUGAUGGAGCAACGCCGCGUGCGUGAUGAAGGGUUUCGGCUCGUAAAACACUGUUGUAAGAGAAGAAUGACAUUGAGAGUAACUGUUCAAUGUGUGACGGUAUCUUACCAGAAAGGAACGGCUAAAUACGUGCCAA